ACUAUAACCUUCGUGAGACAAGCUUCUUACCACUUUUGAUUUGGAAGUCUCCCUAUUUGCAGUUUUUUACUAACUUAAUAUUUAUAUUAAGAAAAGCACCCUGAAUUUUCUUUUGACAGUUUUUGAUGUCAGAAGCAGGAUCAGAAGAAGACCCCUGUGAAGCCCCAAGGCCAGUAACUAGGUGCUGGUACCCAGGGCCGCAGCACUGGCUGCUCUCUCACCCAGCCAUGGAGUUCUAGACUUUUGCAAGCAUCUGUGAUACAAAAUUGCUGGAAGAUUUACAGAAAAGACUCUGACAAGUGCAGGUUUCUGGUAACUUUAAGAUCACAGCAUUGGACUGGGUAAGAAUUUCCAGCACUCUAAUGGAAAACCAAUGGAUUCAUGAGGCUGCUAACCCAAAAUCAAGCAGAACAAGAAUUACAGGGGACUGAAUGAACUGAUGAGGGUGAUUAUAAUUUUUAUGUCUUUGAAAUAUUGCGGGUUCUUUAAUGUUUGUUUUCUAGAGUUAAAGAAUGCCUUUUCUCUUUUCCCUUAAGACCUACAACUUACAGCAAUUUGGUGAAGAAUACUUUUGUAAACAAAAAUGAAACACAUUUUCUUUUCUCCCUACCCCAACCCCUCCAAAAUUCAGAAACUUAUUGAGUAUUCUUUAUUUUCAUGGCAAUAUAAAUAUUUACAUAAGUUCAAUGAAAGUUUGUUUCCCCUGUAACAGGACACAAUUGGGCAAGUCCUCUGCUUGGCUUCUUAGACUGAAAAGGCUUUUUAAAGUCUAAUUUCAGAUUCCUUAUUACCAGACAGUUUUAAGGAAUUCAGAUUGACUUUACAAAACCAAUAAAGCCCCUUAGAUAUUAUCAAACCUCUGACUGGAAUGGCAUACUUGAGAAUGUGUACAUAUUCACUAUUCUUGCUGCACUUACAUAUAUAAUCAGGCCAGCUUAAUGAGACAAAACUUAUUUUGCGAACAAAUUAGCCUGUGAUUAUCUUUGGUAGAAAUGGGAACUGUAGAGAGAAAAAUUGUGUUUCCAUAGAAAACUCUAAGUACGCCCAUUAUCAGAUUCUAGUCCUGUUUAUUGUCUUUGAGGCACUGUCCACCUAUAAACUGCACUGGAUCCUGAAUUCCUCUAGUUUCCUCCAAUAUCUGGUUACAACCCUCCAAACUAUUAUUUCCAAAUUCUUAAAACUGUCCUUUUCCCCAACCCCUACUGGAUGAUUUGAUGUAAACUUUAGACAAAUCGCCAUCAUGGCUCAUGUAAGGAACCUUUGUGCCUGUUUCUGUGGGGGCCACUUAGAGAAUUCACCAAAACAUCUGAUGACAUCAACCAAGACAUUCAAACUGCAAACCAGGAAAGUCCAUCGGUAGAAACUGCCAUCCUCAUUUCAGCAUCUCAAGAUGCUCCAAGAGCAAAUCUGGAAAUCUUCUUAAUGCCCUGCCUUCCAGAGGGCUCAUUUAAAUAACAAUAAGUUAGACUUAUUAAGUGCCUUGUAGAUGCCAGGGACUGUUCUAUGAACUUUGUGUAUAUUAAUUUAUUUAAUCCUCAUAACUACCAUAUGAGGUAGGCACUAUUGUUAUUCUCAUUUUAUAGAAGAAGAAACAAAGGGAUAGAUAAUAUAAACAAUUUGCCCAAAAUCACACAACUGGAAAGUGAUUGAGUCAGGAUUAAUGCCAGAAUAACCCAGAAUGAGAACAUAACCUCUAAGCUACAAUGCAAUAAUAUAUUAACAUAUCUAACUACAUUUGAAUUUUCAACUUCCAUAAAGGAAAAUAAAGUAUUUUUUAUGCUGUUGCAAGCUUUUGAGAUUAAAUGAAAAAUAGUUUUUAUUUUUUUAUUUUUUGUAGGGACAGAGUCUCACUCUCUCGCCCAGGCUGGCGUGCAGUGGCCGAUCUCAGUGAUCUCAGCUCACUGCAACCUCUGCCUCCCUGGUUCAAGCAAUUCUCCUCUGCCUCAGCCUCCCAAGUAGCUGGGACCACAGGCGCACGCCACCACACACGGCUAAUUUUUGUAUUUUUAGUAGAGACAGGGUUUCACCAUGUUGGUCAGGCUGGUCUUGAACUCCUAACCUCAGGUGAUCCACCUGCCUCAGCCUCCCAAAGUGCUGGGAUUACAAGUGUGAGCUACCAAGCCCGGCCUAAAAAAUAGCUUUUAAUCAAAAGAAAGUGGGGUGAGGGGAGAAAAUGGAGGUGAUGUCUACUUUAAGUCAAGAUGGAAUAAUGAGGGCCAAAUUCGCCCUUCCAUCUGAAACAACCACAACACCAGAGGGAAGAACAAUGGUUUUCAAGACACGGGAUGUUAGACAAUGAAAGACAGUGAUCUCUGAGGAAUGGAAUACAAAUGAGAAAAGUCCUACACAUGCCCCAGGUAACUGCCUUGAGGGAGUCUCCAGGAGCAUAGUUCAGGGGUGGGGCAGGGGGAACCAAGAAAAAGCCCAGCAAACUCGCUGAGUUGAGGAGACAGAGCUAAGUAAGAGUCUGGACUCGCUGAGUUGAAGAGACAGAGCUAAGAGUCUGGACUCACUGAGUCGAGGAGACAGAGCUAAGAGUCUGGGGAACUUGAGGCGGCCAGAGGUCACAGGGCAGAAUACAGCAGAGAUGGAUGCACACACUCCAAGAGAAACCCAGAGACCUGUGCAGGGUCCUCCUCAACUAUUCAUCAUAUGCUUGUGAGGAAAUACUUGAAGUAAGGGAAAGAACCAUCCAUAAGGACUACAGGGAUUAGUGCCUAUUCUCACAAGGAAGAUUGAAAAAGAAUCCUCAUAAUUCACACAGCAUUGAGUAGAACAGCAGUCCCCAAUCUUUCUGGCACCAGGGGCCGGGGUAGGGGGACCAGUACCAGUCCGUAGCCAGGGGGUUCAGGGCCCCUGGAGUGGAAUUCUCAGUAGUAGGGAACAAUUAGCCCCAGGCCAAGAAUGGCUCCAGACCCACCUAACAAAUCAGAAAAGUAGGACCUCAAAGGGUCCAACUAUUUCCAAGUAACUAAACUGUAUCCCAGAACAAAGUUCAAGAAUACUUACAGGAAUACAAAAAUAUCCAGCAUCUAACAAGGUAAAAUUCACAAUGUCUGGCAGCCAAUUAAAGAUUAUCAGGCAAGCAAAGAAAGAAGAAAACAUGACCCAUAAUCAGGGGAAUAAUAGACCUAGAGUUGACAUGGAUAUUAUAAUUAACAGAGAAGGACAUUAAAACAGUCAAUAUAACUCUAUUCCAAAUGUUCAAAGGUGGAGAAGAGACCUGGGCAUAAAAAAGAGCCAAAGCAAACUUUAGAGAUGAAAACUUCAUCUGAAAUGAAAACUGCACUGGAAAAAAUCAGCAGCUAAUUAAUUAGACACUGCAGAAGGAAAGAUUAAUGAACUUGAAGAUGCAGUAAUAUAAACUAUCCAAAAUAAAGAGAAAAAAAUGUUUAAAUAUAAAAUAAAUCAGUGAGUUAUGGGACAACUUCAAGCAGUCUAUAAUAUACAUGCAAUUACAGUAUCUGAAAACGGGGAGAAGCAGACAAAAAAUUUUUUUAAAU
rnacentral:lncRNA from 1 species